CGUAACAAGGUUUCCGUAGGUGAACCUGCGGAAGGAUCAUUGUCGAGUCCUGGAGAGCAGACCACAUGCGAACGUGUUAACCUCACGGCUAUCGGUGUGUGGGAAACCGCAGAUCGAAGCCCGCACACGACCUUGCUCGUCGCGUGUAUUAAUUCUUUGGGCGCAACAAAGCGCCAAGCAAAACUAAUGCAGAAUGUUUGCAUCCCCGCCGUAUUUGUGUGGAUGGGGCAUGUGCAUCUAUUGAAAACUAAAUGACUCCCGACAACGGAUAUCUGGGCUCUCGCAUCGAUGAAGAACGUAGCGAACUGCGAUACUUGGUGUGAAUUGCAGAAUUCCGGGAACCAUCGAGUAUUUGAACGCAAGUUGCGCCCGAAGCCAUCAGGCUGAGGGCACGUCUGCCUGGGCGUCGAGCAUCAUGUCUCCCUACCAACACCGCUUACACUACGGUGCGUACGGAGUUUGGUAGGACGUAAAAUGGUUUCCCGUGCUCUGUGCGGUUGGCCUAAAUUUCGUUCCUUUUUGGAGUACGAAACACAUUCGGUGGUUGAUCUUGUCAACUGUGUAUCUUUUUGGAAAGGAACUCACAAGACCCUUUUACAUGCAUUCAUCGGAAUCAUGCAAUUCUUUAACCCCAGGUCAGGCGGGAGUACCCGCUGAGUUUAAGCAUAUCAA
rnacentral:rRNA from 1 species